GAUCACGAAAGGAUCACGAAAAUCAAAUCCGAUUUUCGAUCGGUACAUUAUGCUUACAAAGUUUCGGAAUGUAAAGACAAAGGCUGGAAGCGCACAAUAAGAAAGGCAGUCCUUUUAAGGACAACAAAAACUGUGA